rnacentral:rRNA from 1 species
CGCAUCUGUGCAUGCAGCAUAUCAAUAAGCGGAGGAAAAGAAACUAACAAGGAUUCCCCUAGUAACGGCGAGUGAAGCGGGAAGAGCUCAAAUUUGAAAUCUUAAAGGGUUUCCCUUUACGAAUUGUAGUUUAAAGAAGUGUUUUCUGUUGAGGUUUUGGUAAAAGUUCUUUGGAAUAGGACAUCAUAGAGGGUGAGAAUCCCGUAUUUGACCUUUACUUUCAACUUUGCUGAUACACUUUCAAAGAGUCGGAUUGUUUGGGAAUGCAGUCCCAAAAUGGGUGGUAAAUUUCAUCUAAAGCUAAAUAUUGGCGAGAGACCGAUAGCGAACAAGUACCGUGAGGGAAAGAUGAAAAGAACUUUGAAAAGAGAGUUAAACAGUACGUGAAAUUGUCAAAAGGGAAGCGUUUGACACCAGUGUUGUUUUUCUGAAAAUCAAUUAAAGAACUGUUUAUGCUAAGCUGUUUAGACUUUAUCAGCUAUCUGCUUAGUUUUGAGCUUUUCUUUAAUGCACUUUUCAGUUAACAAGUCAACAUCAAUUUCUUUUGCUGUAAAAAAGCUUGAGGAAGGUGGCUUGAGAUUCGUCUUAAGUGUUUAUAGCCUCUUGCCUAUGCAGUCGGAGAGAUUGAGGUCUGCAGCGUAGAUCCUUCGGGGCUAAAUGCAUUUGUGCUAAGUUAUAGCAUUUUAUAGACAACUUGUUGACUAUGAUUUGUCUUGUAGCUUACUCGCUUAUGUUAUUUUACCUACGCUUAGGAUGUUGACGAGACUGUCGAUCUC